ensembl:lncRNA
CUGCAGGCAGCUGCUCUGAGUAACGGCACGCACGCAAACCGAGCGGUGGCGAGGUGACGCGGCCCACUUUGCAAUCAGACAACAUUUUUGAAUACUAAUGCAAUAUGAGAUUUGGAGAGGCCAUCUGCCCAUUGAUUUGCAGGUCACAGCGGAGAUCGCUCGCCUCUCGGGUGGUGCACACGACUCGCCAAUCAGAAACAAUAUGGAUUCAUUGGAGAGACUGUUAGUCUUCUGUUGCACUGUGAAUGAUGCUAGAAAGGUGUUGCAUUACCUCGCCUAUAAAAAAGGCAGGCCGACAGCCAGAGCAGACCCUGAUCGAUACCAGCGGAGACGCACCUGAGAGGCCGAGGCACCGACAGCUGGUUUCCAUUCCGCCGGAGGGUUAAAUCGUGGCGAGGGACGACUUACUUGUUCGACCUCCUCGAAUUGCACCCACAGGACGAACGCGUUUGAUACGGAAAACGUGGUUUAAAAAGUUGCAUAACGCGAUGUACGCAGGAGGAUAUAUUCGCACAACCACAACAUCUGGCUCAUCGGGCUCACGCAACACACUGGGGCAGGAAGUGGAUUAAGAGCGCCGGCUGGCCCAUUGACGACGAGCGCAGUUGGAAUAUCUGUAAUCGGCACGGCCAAAGAUCUAAUGGAGAUCGUGGCAGCCCCCAGUCCUCCCACAACAGGAAGCUGUUGCAGUGACAAGUCCCCCCCAAAAAGAUCAGAGUUUAUUUGGCACAUUGACUCCGUCAGAGGAUCUGGGCUCAGAAGUUCUGACUCCGAGACGCCAUGUCACAGCACACUAUGACCACAUGUGCACACUGUAGUAGCGUGUGGUGUUCCCCUCGGAUUGUUUGGGAGCGUUUCUGGGUUUUGGAGUUGCCGUGUUUCCUGAGGCCUUGUCUCCUGGCACAUGAUGGCACCGUAGCUGAAAUGAACCACGUGAGAGCUCAAAGGAUUAUAUUCCUUCUGUCGCUCACGUUGUAGAUGGGCGGGAGAAGCUCGACUUAUGGGGAUAAUUCUUUUCCAAUUUGAAUGCAGCAAAGUUGCUCUGCACAGGCUCACACAAAGAAAGAAAAGGUCUGUGAAGAUUCCAACACCGUGUUAACGUGACUGAGAUCGUUACGUUAUCUUUGAACAGCUGUAGCAUAUCUAGGUUAUUUGCCAGGUCCAGACUGGCUCAACUUUUAUUGGAGCACAGAUCGAAAUGGGGCGGGACUUUGGACAGGUCAGCUAUACCGUGUGAAAGAUCUAGACAGGCCCUGAACCCGUCAUCAUACUCAAGCACAGAAUCAAAUCACAAAACGCUGAGCUGCGUGUUCCUGUUUUUCUGCCACUCACAUACUUUUGCAUAACCGCAAUGGUGCUCAAGUUUCUGAAAUCAUUUCCCCUUCUGGGUUUCAGCUCCCAAACCUCAGGGGCAAACACUCCAGUCUCCUACACCAAAUGCCAAAUUCAUCACAUGUAUAGACACUCCACAAAAUGCUGAGGCUGAAAAAAAAUACUGUUUUUAUCUUUAUUAAUUUGGAAGAAAAAGUUAAAUGUGUCCACAGGCUCAGCGGUUUUCAUACUGGUUAAGAAGCGCCAUGCUCUCCUUUUCCUGCAGCAGGAGCACAAUCUGGCAAGAAGCAAUGAGGAUCAGCGAGGGAGAUCGACAGGCCUCUACCACGGCCUGUUUUUGUCUUACAACUUCAACCCUUUCAUUAUGAGUUUUUAUAGUUAAAGGCAGUUCACAUCAACAUUAGAAAAUGGCCAUUUGUACUUUUGAUAGAAUAAAUAGUAGGGCCGUCAACAUUAACGCAUUAAUCUAUGCAAUUAAUGUGGCCGAAUUAAUGCAAAAAAAUAUUUUAACGUAGUUAACGUACGUUUGUUUGAACCGGAAGUUUAACGAAACGGGCGCUAGCUGCAGUCAGUUACAUCGAGAUGGAGAGCGCUUUUUGCAUUGGAAGUAAAACAAACAGAGGCUCAACAUACAGCAGAGACCUGUGCAGAGGAAUUACUCCACAUGUCAAACAGAAGGGGGGUGAGUAGCAAACGGACCACUUAAAGCACUGCUAUGCUAAGUUAGCUGCUAGGCUAGCUUAGCCUAGCAUGUAACAUCUGCAGAGGACCACCACUGUGUCCCUUAAAGACCGUGGUUUGAAAACGUCUUGGCUAAAUGUGGGGAGAUUGUUGGUGCUUCAAACACAGCUGUUAAAUGAUGGAGGUGGAAUUCUGUCUCCAAGACCAUCAAAUGUGCGUGGU